AGUGUAGGCGGGAUCGUAAGUUAGGAGUUUAAUACAUGGGCUUAACCCAUGAGCUGCUUUUAAUACUGCGGUUCUUGAGUAUGGGAGAGGGCGAUGGAAUUCCAGGUGUAGCGGUGGAAUGCGUAGAUAUCUGGAAGAACACCAGUAGCGAAGGCGGUCGCCUGGCCCAAUACUGACGCUGAUGCUCGAAAGCUAGGGGAGCAAACAGGAUUAGAUACCCUGGUAGUCCUAGCCGUAAACGAUGGACACUAGUUGCUGGAGGAGUCAAUCCUUUCGGUGACGAAGCUAACGCAUUAAGUGUCCCGCCUGGGAGUACGUUCGCAAGGAUGAA
rnacentral:rRNA from 1 species